UAGGGAAUCUUCGGCAAUGGACGAAAGUCUGACCGAGCAACGCCGCGUGGUGAGAAGUUAGUUCGGAUCGUAAAACUCUGUUGUUAGAGAAGAACAAGGACGUUAGUAACUGAACGUCCCUCGACGGUAUCUAACCAGAAAGCCACGGCUAACUACGUGCCAGCAGCCGCGGUAAUACGUAGGUGGCAAGCGUUGUCCGGAUUUAUUGGGCGUAAAGCGAGCGCAGGCGGUUUCUUAAGUCUGAUGUGAAAGCCCGCC
rnacentral:rRNA from 1 species